CUCUAAUCCUUGACCUACAGAAUCAUGAAAUUUGUGGAUACGGUCAUGAUCUUGAUUUUGGCGAUGGUUUCACAGGUCAGAUGUACGUGAUGGUUACCAUUAUAACUACAUACUAUGAAAGAUUAAUCAGUGGAAAAAAACAAGUUAAAGACACACAAAAAACUUCAGAGAAUCAACUUCUGGUCAAAAAAGCCCUCCUUUAGCCAACUCUAAACCUCAUUCAACCAAUAUUCUCUAUAGUCUUAGAAAGCAUUCAGAAGACAUAAUAUUUUUUAAGGACUUCAAGCAGCAAAUGGCAGAAGUGACAAGAAUUGAAAAUAGAGGAAAAUUUUGUUUUGUUUAAAG
rnacentral:lncRNA from 10 species